ensembl:lncRNA
AUGAUGAAAAGUCUGUCAAUAAUAAAGCGCUGCUCUACCUUCUUAACAACACUAUCAACAAGGCAGGUCCUACAGGCCCUAGUUUCUACCUUCUUAACAACACUAUCAACAAGGCAGGUCCUACAGGUCCUAGUUUCUACCUUCUUAACAACACUAUCAACAAGGCAGGUCCUACAGGUCCUAGUUUCUACCUUCUUAACAACACUAUCAACAAGGCAGGUCCUACAGGCCCUAGUUUCUACCUUCUUAACAGCACUAUCACCAAGGCAGGUCCUACAGGUCCUAGUUUCUACCUUCUUAACAACACUAUCAACAAGGCAGGUCCUACAGGCCCUAGUUUCUACUUUCUUAACAACACUAUCAACAAGGCAGGUCCUACAGGUCCUAGUUUCUACCUUCUUAACAGCACUAUCACCAAGGCAGGUCCUACAGGCCCUAGUUUCUACCUUCUUAACAACACUAUCAACAAGGCAGGUCCUACAGGCCCUAGUUUCUACCUUCUUAACAACACUAUCAACAAGGCAGGUCCUACAGGCCCUAGUUUCUACCUUCUUAACAACACUAUCAACAAGGCAGGUCCUACAGGCCCUAGUUUCUACCUUCUUAACAACACUAUCAACAAGGCAGGUCCUACAGGCCCUAGUUUCUACCUUCUUAACAGCACUAUCAACAAGGCAGGUCCUACAGGUCCUAGUUUCUACCUUCUUAACAGCAAUAUCAACAAUGCAGGUCCUACAGGCCCUAGUUUCUACCUUCUUAACAACACUAUCAACAAGGCAGGUCCUACAGGCCCUAGUUUCUACCUUCUUAACAACACUAUCAACAAGGCAGGUCCUACAGGCCCUAGUUUCUACCUUCUUAACAGCAAUAUCAACAAGGCAGGUCCUACAGGUCCUAGUUUCUACCUUCUUAACAGCACUAUCAACAAGGCAGGUCCUACAGGUCCUAGUUUCUACCUUCUUAACAGCAAUAUCAACAAGGCAGGUCCUACAGGCCCUAGUUUCUACCUUCUUAACAGCAAUAUCAACAAGGCAGGUCCUACAGGUCCUAGUUUCUACCUUCUUAACAGCACUAUCAACAAGGCAGGUCCUACAGGCCCUAGUUUCUACCUUCUUAACAGCACUAUCAAUAAGGCAGGUCCUACAGGCCCUAGUUUCUACCUUCUUAACAGCACUAUCAACAAGGCAGGUCCUACAGGCCCUAGUUUCUACCUUCUUAACAGCACUAUCACCAAGGCAGGUCCUACAGGUCCUAGUUUCUACCUUCUUAACAGCACUAUCACCAAGGCAGGUCCUACAGGUCCUAGUUUCUACCUUCUUAACAGCACUAUCAACAAGGCAGGUCCUACAGGUCCUAGUUUCUACCUUCUUAACAGCACUAUCAACAAGGCAGGUCCUACAGGCCCUAGUUUCUACCUUCUUAACAGCACUAUCAACAAGGCAGGUCCUACAGGCCCUAGUUUCUACUUUCUUAACAACACUAUCAACAAGGCAGGUCCUACAGGCCCUAGUUUCUACUUUCUUAACAACACUAUCAACAAGGCAGGUCCUACAGGCCCUAGUUUCUACCUUCUUAACAACACUAUCAACAAGGCAGGUCCUACAGGCCCUAGUUUCUACCUUCUUAACAGCACUAUCAACAAGGCAGGUCCUACAGGCCCUAGUUUCUACUUUCUUAACAACACUAUCAACAAGGCAGGUCCUACAGGCCCUAGUUUCUACCUUAACAACACUAUCAACAAGGCAGGCCCUACAGGCCCUAGUUUCUACCUUCUUAACAACACUAUCAACAAGGCAGGUCCUACAGGCCCUAGUUUUGUCGCACCUGGACUACUGUUGUCGUGUGGUCAGGUGCCACAAAAAGGGACUUAGGAAACUUGCAAUUGGCUCAGAACAGGGCAGCACAGCUGGCCCUUGGAUGUACACAGAGAGCUAA